CUUCUUUCCCAAGUUAACUAUGCUACUGUGAAGAAGAGUAACAGCAAUUACUUACAAUGGCGUCUUCAUGCCUUCCCUACCACCGCUGAUAUUUCUCGUCUCACCGUCGAAUCCUGCAUCACUUUCUCCAUCUGGAUCUGACAAAACAUCGGAAUCUGGCUCCGGAGUGCUGGAUCGUUGAGAUGGAAACACAUAGUUCUCAAGGGUAUCAUCAGAGCCAUCACCAAACAGAUU
rnacentral:lncRNA from 1 species